UUUAUGCGGCAGCAUAGGACUGCAUUGCGGGAGGACUUGUACGAUUCUACCCCUUUUCAUUUUUAUGCUGCUUUGGAG
rnacentral:pre_miRNA from 1 species